AUUGAACGCUGGCGGAAUGCUUUACACGUGCAAGUCGAACGGCAGCACGGGUGCUUGCACCUGGUGGCGAGUGGCGAACGGGUGAGUAACAUAUCGGAACGUGCCCAGUAAUGGGGGAUAACUAACCGAAAGGUUAGCUAAUACCGCAUACGCCCUGAGGGGGAAAGCGGGGGAUCGAAAGACCUCGCGUUAUUGGAGCGGCCGAUAUCUGAUUAGCUAGUUGGUAGGGUAAAGGCCUACCAAGGCGGCGAUCAGUAGCUGGUCUGAGAGGCAGAUCAGCCACACUGGGUCCGAGGCAAGGCACAGACUCCGGCAGGAGGCAGCAGUGGGGAAUUUUGGACAAUGGGCGAAAGCCUGAUCCAGCCAUUCCGCGUGAGUGAAGAAGGCCGUCGGGUUGUAAAGCUCUUUCGGCAGGAACGAAACGCUCUAGAUUAAUACACUGGGGUAAUGACGGUACCUGAAGAAGAAGCACCGGCUAACUACGUGCCAGCCGCCGCAGUAA
rnacentral:rRNA from 1 species